GGAAUCUUGCACAAUGGGCGAAAGCCUGAUGCAGCGACGUCGCGUGGAGGAUGGAGGCUCUCGGGUUGUAAACUCCUUUUAUGAGGGAACAAGUUUCUGAGUGUACCUCAUGAAUAAGUACCUUCCAACUACGUGCCAGAAGAAUCGGUGAUGCGUAGGGUGCAAGCGUUAUCCGGAUUUACUGGGCGUAAAGAGACGCGUAGGCGUCUUGGUAAGUCUAUAGUGCAAUCUUACAGCUCAACUGUAAAACUGCCAUAGAAACUAUCAAGAUUGAGUCAGACAGGGGAGAAGGGAAUUUCUGGUGGAGCGGUGAAAUGCGUUGAUAUCAGGAGGAAUACCGAUGGCGAAGGCACUUCUCUGGGUCUUGACUGACGCUAAGGCUCGAAAGCGUGGGGAGCAAAA
rnacentral:rRNA from 1 species